GGGUAAUCGCCUUUUGCUUGUUCAGAAGGAGGAAAGUCCGAACACCUACCGGUUCCGUGCUUCCUAACAGGAAGGGUCCGCCUCAUGGCGGAUACAGACAGUGCCACAGAAAAUAUACCGCCCCGGCUUGCCGGGGUAAGGGUGAAAUGGUGGGGUAAGAGCCCACCGCGCUUUAGGCGACUAAAGCGGCAGGGUAAACCUCACGGGGUGCAAGGCCAAGCAGGCAGUAUGCACCACCGGUUGCUAUGCUGCCGGGUAGGCCGCUUGAGGUGCCGGGUGACCGGCAUCCCAGAUAAAUGAUUACCACCCUUAUUCCAUAA
rnacentral:RNase_P_RNA from 1 species